UGACUGGUAGGAACUGUCAUUGAUUCAUC
rnacentral:sRNA from 1 species